UACGUAGGGACCAAGCGUUGUUCGGGUUUACUGGGCGUAAAGGGCGCGUAGGCGGCAAUUCAAGUCAUCUGUGAAAUCUCCGGGCUUAACUCGGAACGGUCAGAUGAUACUGCUUUGCUAGAGUACAGAAGGGGCAAUCGGAAUUCUUGGUGUAGCGGUGAAAUGCGUAGAUAUCAAGAGGAACACCUGAGGUGAAGACGGGUUGCUGGGCUGAUACUGACGCUGAGGCGCGAAAGCUAGGGUAGCAAACGGG
rnacentral:rRNA from 1 species